AGGUGCCCAUGAUAUGUGGAUCCACAGCCAUACUGUAAGAUGGUUCAGAAUCCAGCCACCAAGUGCUGCAUGAAACCCUCAUGCAAUGCUUGUUCACAAACACCUACACCACAGACAUACACACCAGAUGUAUGUGUAUACAAAGAAGUACAUACCAGGAAGGACAAUUGUGGUAUGAUGGCUGUAACAAUGUUUGUGUGGCAAAUGUAACAAAAACAUAUACACAUAUAAACAAAGAUUUGCAAUGCAUGCUACUAUCCAACAAGGCUGUGUACUAGUUCCUGACCCAAAAGAUCCCUCGUGCUACUGGGUACCAAGUUGUUUGAUCCCUCUGAAACAAACCAUUGGUAUAGUGGUUGCUCCUGAACCUACUGGGACCAUAGCAGGGACAGAUAAUUGAUGACGGUUAUGAUUAUUCAUCGGAAUGCCUUGAUAAUACAGAUGAGAUAAAAGCUGCUUGUAUAUAAAAUGGUCAAGUCUACAAAUAAGGGGCUACAUCAUCAGGACAGAUGGGUGUAAAUAUAAUUGUGAAUGUAUAGAUGUAAUGGUGGACAAUACAAGUGUACAGAAAGGUGUGCUGUAUGUGACCUUGACAUGCCUUGCUGCAACCUUGACACUUCUUGCUGCAACCUUGACACCCCUUGCUGCGACCUUGACACUCCUGCAAAGUUGUUUUCCUGCAUGUAUCCACACACAUGAAGUGCUAGGGGCUAAUGAAGAACUAUGGUCUCAUACUGAUGCUUAUCCAUAUUUUGUUAAGAAUACUUACCUCUUUAUACGAGUUCAAUGUAUUUGGAUGUGUCCAUUCAAAAGAAUGUGAUUCAAAUGAUUAAAUAAUGGGUCAGUAAGAAUCUUAUGUCAAAGAGUUUAUUAGUGGAUCUCCUUCACUUUCUUCUUUUUUCCCUGUAUUUAUAUCGUAUUGUUGAAUUACAAUACAUUUUGGAUACAUGAGUUAGUGAGUUGGGUUUUACAGCAAAUCAACACAAUAUAUAGAGAUAUAUAUCUAUAGCCAAACUUGGCGAUAUAUGACCAUUUUGUGUUGAUUCACCGUAAAACCCAACUCACUCCUAUAUGUUCGCUUUCAAAGCCUAUAGCAAUUAGAGAAACUGUUAGCGAACAGCAUGGAUCCUGACCAGACUGGUCGGAUCCAUGCAGGUCGCAAACCCACUAUGUUGGUUUUUUCAUGGCGUGGCUCAUAUGUUGUAUGUAAUGAAUUAAAUGGUUGUAUAAUAUUAAAUUAUUUAAGUAUAUUUUUUAAACACAUUUUUGACAUAGUUAACUUGUACAGAAUACUUAAAAUAAAAAUUAUAAAUAUUUUUCAGCUAUAAUUGUUUUUUCAGUAAACUAGAACUAUAUAUACAUCCUUUCAAAUUAAAAUAUGAAGCAAAAUAUAUAAUUCCAUUCACCUGCUUUAAACAUACUUAUUUUGAGGUCUUUAUGUUGCAAAAGGCAUUAUGUGAAUAUAUAAAGGGCAUUUUGUUUGUUUCAGUGUAAGAUAUAAAUAUUUUUGACAAGUGAAUACCAGACGCAGUAUUUUCAUGAAUGGCACGGCUGCAUGUGAAAAUGUAAAACAUAGUGUUCAUGUAUGAAAGAUAUUUAGAUUUUACAUGUAAAGCAAUUUUUCUGUAUAUGUUUUGACAAAAUUUACCCAUUUUAUAGUUUCUUACCAGUGAAAACUACAAAUAUGUUUACUGUGAAAAUACCAGAUAUAUUUCAAUAACCCACUAAAAUCUUGUAAUUUAUUUUGAUCUUAAACUUAAACACACAAAAAUUAUGUUUUUGUUUGGCUACAAGACACCUAUUUAGAAAAAAAGAUGAUUGAGCCAUGCCAUGAGAAAACCAACAUCCGCGCAGUCUGUUCAGGAUCAUGCUGUUCACUAU
rnacentral:misc_RNA from 1 species